GGUGGUGCGUGAUUUGGAAAUUGGGGUUAUUCUUCGCCCAUCACCCCACCACAAAACCCAGCCCACUGUUUCUCUCACUGCUUCCCUUCCCCAGCCAUAUGUCUUUCCCUACCCCAGCCCUGGUCCCACUCCCCUCUUUCCCCAGUAUCAGCAAACUUCCAAAGAUAUUUCCUACAUAUUAUUACGUUGCUUUUCUGAGAACCUUCAACAAUUUGAGAAUUGGAUAGAAAAGGAGAGACAGAGCAGCCACUCCAGAAGCUUCCAAAAUCACUCUGCACCUUGACCUUCUUGAAUGGUUGCACUCGGAGUGCUGAAGUUGCUCCCAGAUUGCUGUCUGCAGGGUGACCAGAACUGGACACAGUACUCUCGAUGAAGCCUCACCACCAUCUUGUACAACUUCAACAAGAUGCCCCAACUCCUGUACUGAAAGGCGAUCAGAAGUGGACACAUUACCCCAGAAGGCGCCUCACCGACAUUCUGUACAAGGUCAACAUAACAUCCCAACUCCUCUCAAACGUCUGAGCAAUGAAGG